ACCCCAUUUUAGACCUACUCAGAAACUUUGAGGAUGGGGCUCAGCAGUCUGUAUUACAAGCCCUCGAGGUGAAAUUCUGAUCAGUGCUGAAGUUUGAGAACCAAUAUUUUAGAGAAACUCAGGAACCAUAUUUAGGAAUGUUCACAGUAGUAGCAUUAAUAUUAGCAAAAAUCUGGAUGCAACCCAAAUGUUUACUUACAAUAGAAUGGAUAAAUAAAUUGUGGCAUUCUCACAUGCAAAUAAAAAAAAAAAAAGGGUGAUCAGUAUUGGAUGAAUCUUAAAUAAAAAAACAAAACAAAAAGCCAGCAGCAUGUAUAAUUACUCCAUUAUAAAAGUUUAUAACUUCUCUGUGUGUUGUGUAUUCUUGAAGGUCACAUAUAUCUGUGAUUUAAAAAAGGAAACAAGAAAGAAUAUUUAACACCUUUUGGGUUUUGGGAUCCAGGAGGCACAAACAGGAAGCUUUGGUGAUAGUGGAAAUACACUGUUGCAUGGAGCUGGGUAUUUAUUGUAUUUUUCUUUAUUAUAUAUAAAAUAUAUAUACAGAUAAAUUAUAUGUCACUAUUACAUGUAAUUAUACAUAUUAAUAUAUAACUGCAAUAUUUCUGUAUAUAACAUAUGUAUAAAUCAUAUGCCCAUUGGUAUUAUGAUUUAUUACAUAUAAAAAAAGUAAAUUCUGAAAUAAGCAUAGUUUGGAAAUACUGAAUGGUUGGUUUUCAGUUUUAAGAUCAGCAAGGAAAAUAACUUGGAUUUCAUAUACUUUUUAUAUAAAUUAGAAAUAAAAAUCAUUUUACAGAGAGAUCCAUUAAAAACAGCUAAAGGUUUACCUCUUAGUUCUGUGGAAACCCUAGCUAUCUAGGAUUUCUUAUUCAUGAAGGCUCUUGAGUGGAGUAUUAUUAUUUUUAUUUUUUAUUUUUUAAAAUUUAUU